GAUGAUGGAUGGGUGUUUUCAGUUGGUAUUUUACACUAAAUAUUAAAAUAUAAGAAAGAAAGACAGACAAUUUUUUUUUCUUUAAGAUCCUGGUGUUUCUAAGAACAACUUGGUGGGCAUUAUCCCUUUCUUAAUUUUGAUGAAGAGCACCUAACCUUAUUAAGACAAUCGUCCAAUGACGGACAUAGAGUCUUGAUUCCAGAGUAUUUAGACUAAAGAUUCCAAGGUGAAGAUCCAGAGCUGCUGAGAACAGCUGCAGAUGACUGACUCAGUGUGUUUGCAUAUGUGUGCUGCCUCUCUGCUUCCAGCAGUUAAGAGCUCAGUGUUGAUCAGUGGCUGUCCAGACCUUUCAGAGACACUGACACACCUGCAGCACAAUGAGGAUGUCACUGACUCUGCUGCUGGCUGUCCUGGAGCUCCUUGUUCAGGGUUCUUCAGGUGAAAUCUCUUUGACUCAGACUCCUGGAUCUCAGUCUGUUGUUCCAGGACAAACUGUCUCCAUUAGAUGUCGAGCCAGUUCAAGUAUUAGCAGCUACCUCCACUGGUACCUUCAGAAAUCUGGAGAAGCUCCUAAACUCCUGAUAUAUUAUGCUACAACUCGUCAGUCUGGAGUUUCUGAUCGUUUUAGUGGAAGUGGAUCUGACAGUGAUUUCACUCUGACCAUCAGUGGAGUUCAGGCUGAAGAUUCAGGAGUUUAUUACUGUCUUCAGUCGGGUCACAGUUUUCCGUUCACACAGUGA